rnacentral:rRNA from 1 species
CCUACGGGGUGCAGCAGUGGGGGAUAUUGCACAAUGGAGGAAACCCUGAUGCAGCGACGCCGCGUGGGCGAAGAAGUAUUUCGGUAUGUAAAGCCCUAUCAGCAGGGAAGAAGAAAUGACGGUACCUGAAGAAGAAGCCCCGGCUAACUACGUGCCAGCAGCCGCGGUAAUACGUAGGGGGCAAGCGGUAUCCGGCUUUACUGGGGGUAAAGGGGGCGCAGACGGCGAUGCAAGCCAGGAGUGAAAGCCCGGGGCCCAACCCCGGGACUGCUCUUGGAACUGCGUGGCGGGGGUGCAGGAGGGGCAGGCGGAAUUCCUGGGGUAGCGGUGAAAUGCGUAGAUAUCAGGAGGAACCCCGGUGGCGAAGGCGGCCUGCUGGACUGCAACUGACGUUGAGGCCCGAAAGCGUGGGGAGCAAACAGGAUUAGAUACCCUUGUAGUC